GCGGGCGUCGUAUAACGGCUAUUAUAUUUCUCUUCCAAGGAAAUGACGUGGGUUCGACUCCCAUCGCCCGCUCAA
rnacentral:tRNA from 2 species